GUUGAACUUCAUGUUAUAAAAUAUUAAAUUUGUUAUUUCCAUAUGUUGAAAUAGAUAAUGAAAAAUAUUGAACACAAUGGCUUUCUACCAAAUGUUGAUAUAUGAUUCGAAAAAUGUUGAGUUUAUUGUUUUUAAAUGUUAGUCUGAUUUUGUAAAAAUGUUGAAUCUAAUAUACUAAAAUGUUGAUAUUGAAUUUUAAUUUGGGCCUAAUGGACUUUUAAAACCAUAAGGCUUAACCACCCCCCGGCGGGCUGCCAAUGGACCUAUCACGCUACAAUUACGAAGGCACACGGGAACUUUCGACAUGUUUAACGCAAAAAGAGAAAAGGCAUCUAUGUACAUCCUUUUUAAACCCACGUUCCGAAAAAAAAAUAGUCCCGACCACGAACAGGCUUAGCUUAAUCUUGUGUGAUCUGUGAUCAUCGAGAGGCAAAGUCAACGGUUACGAUCAAUUGGAAGCAUAAAGCUUUAUACACAAACACAAUGCACCUACCUGAUGGCGUGGCGUGCGUUGUCAACGGACGACCGUAGCCACGGGCGAGUAGUAAAUUGCACCAGCAGCAGCAGCAGCAGCUGAUCGGCAAGCAGGUGCAGUAUAAUACUGCAGCCAUGCACCUACCAGACUGCUUUGCUCGAGAUUGGCUCUGGGCCUCUGGCACCAAUUCGACACCCUCGCAUGUAUGUAUACAGCACAAGUAGUUGACGAGAGACUCGGCAUAAUCCCCAACCUCCGAUCGAUCCCCAACUAAUUCUUCCCUGAACCCCGGCUAGAAGCUGCCGCCAUGUUCCGCAAGGUCUUCGCUUGGGUGCUCGUCGUCGUCUUCCUCAUGGCCGGCUUCAUGUGCUUCCGCCCCAACAAUCUGCUCCACGCGCACUCCCGGACUAGGUGGGAAGAAGGCAUGGAUCGCACCCGGCGUUACCCUGGCCGCCGCCGCCGGCGGCGGCGGAGGCAGGUUCAGCAGGAGGAGCGUAUGGAACAGGCGCCUGUCCCAGGGGACGAAGACGAGGUCAGUGGCGGCAGUUCUUGUGCCGCCGCCCCCACCGCAGGUGCGGAGGGUUCGAUUUCGGCAUCGACCUAGGUGUUCGUGUCCUUCAAUUCCGUGGACAUACACGUAAUAGUGUGUAGUUUUGAAACGUUCGUGCAUCUGUCGCAACGAUGAAGACUGCCGUUUGGGCACACUUACUCUCCUUGUACACGUCACUGUUUACCUAUAUGAUGGCCGGCAGGAGCAUCGGCAGGAGCAAAGCCAGAAUUUAAUAUGGAGGGGCAAAGUGUAGUAAAUAGAUUAUUGAGUGAAGAGAUUAUUGAGAAACUCACAGAGCAUAAUGAGCAAUAUGUGCUAAUGUCAGGUCAGGAUAUAUUCGUGUCGGGAUAAAUUAUUAAGCAUUAUUUGACCA